AUCCAGCUGACCAGUCCCAAAUAGGACGAAAUGUGCAUCUUGAAU
rnacentral:hammerhead_ribozyme from 1 species